AGCCACAUGGCUCAAUGGUAGAGGGUUAGACUCAAUUACUAAAGGUUGCGGGUUCGAAUUCCCGGUGUGCCAA
rnacentral:tRNA from 1 species